AGUGAACGCUGGCGGUAGGCCUAACACAUGCAAGUCGAACGAGCGGCGGACGGGUGAGUAAUGUAUGGGGAUAUACUCUGUGGUGGGGGAUAACGUAGGGAAACGUACGCUAAUACCGCAUACGAUGGAAUGAGCCGAUAUCGGAUUAGCUAGUUGGAGGGGUAAAGGCGCACCAAGGCGACGAACCGUAGCUGGUGUGAGAGGAUGAUCAGCCACACUGGAACUGAGACACGGCCCAGACUCCUACGGGAGGCAGCAGUGGGGAAUAAUGGACAAGGGGCGCAAGCCUGAUACAGCCAUACCGCGUGGGUGAAGAAGGCCCUCGGGUUGUAAAGUCCUUUUGUUGGGAAAGCGUUACCGACAGAAUAAGCACCGGCUAACUUCGUGCCAGAAGCCGCGGUAAUAC
rnacentral:rRNA from 1 species